rnacentral:rRNA from 1 species
UACGAGAGGCCCAAACGUUAUUCGGAAUUACUGGGCUUAAAGAGUUCGUAGGCGGCGCAGAAAGUAGGGUGUGAAAGCCCUCGGCUCAACCGAGGAAUUGCGCUCUAAACUACUGUGCUUGAGGAAUCUAGAGGUGAGCGGAACUGAUGGUGGAGCGGUGAAAUGCGUUGAUAUCAUCAGGAACACCGGAGGCGAAGGCGGCUCACUGGGGAUUUUCUGACGCUGAGGAACGAAAGCGUGGGGAGCGAACAGG